UGGGGAAUCUUGGACAAUGGGGGCAACCCUGAUCCAGCCAUGCCGCGUGGGUGAAGAAGGCCUUAGGGUUGUAAAGCCCUUUCAGUCGUGACGAUGAUGACGGUAGCGACAGAAGAAGCCCCGGCUAACUCCGUGCCAGCAGCCGCGGUAAUACGGGGGAUGCAAGCGUUAUCCGGAAUUACUGGGCGUAAAGCGUCUGUAGGUGGCUUGGUUAGUCUAUUGUUAAAUAUUAGGGCUUAACCCUGAGACAGCAUUAGAAACUUCUAAGCUAGAGUAUGGUAUGGGCAAAGGGAAUUCCCAGUGUAGCGGUGAAAUGCGUAGAUAUUGGGAAGAACACCAGUAGCGAAAGCGCUUUGCUUGGCCUCAGCUGACACUGAGAGACGAAAGCUAAGGUAGCGAAUGGGAUUAGAUACCCGUGUAGUCC
rnacentral:rRNA from 1 species